UUAAACACUUGACAUUUCUAAAAUAUGGAACCGACACUUUUAGUUACCAAUUUACCUCUAACUAACUUAAUGGAGAUGGUAUUAUCAUGCAGUAAUUUAUUUUCUAUUCUUGUAACUAACCUUUCAAUUUUUCAUGUAAAUUAUUUUAGUGUGAAGUUUAUAUAAUUGGGUGUUGAGCAGAAUUUGCUGGAGAAGUGUGUCGUUGUGACGGAGAUCAGUGGUUCUUCUUCACCACGAUGCAAGAAAGGGAAGCCCGCGGAGGAAGACCUAAUCGCCUAACCGAGGCUGGAUACUGGAAAGCUACUGGCUCUCCUUGUGAUGUUUAUACUUGUCAAAAUAUCCGAAUCGGAAGGAAAAAAACCAUGGUAUUUUACGAGGGCCAAGCUCCCCCGGGUCUAAAACUAGCUGGAAAAUGAACGAGUAUAAACUCUAUUAUCAAUCUUCUGCUGCUGCUAUUCCUCGGUUGAAGGAAGAGCUCAGCUUGUGCCGAGUUUACAAGAGAUCCAAAUAUCCGAGGGCGUUUGAUAGGCGGCCGGUGGCGUUGCACCAUCACCAUCAAAGUAGUGAUGAGGCUGUGAUGAUAACUGAAGAUCAGCAGAAUUCAGCUGUGGAAAAUGAAGUUGAUUUGGAUAUGGCAACGGAAAUUGAACCCUUACAAGAUUCGGAAAUAGUCAUGUUGCUGAACUGUUUUGACAUAUGAGAGAUUUGUCAAAAUACUGAUUUAGAGUACUAGUAUAUCUGGAUUAGCAUAAUCUUACAUAUGUAGCAGUAUAACAUUAUUUGUAAGCAACAUGGUUGAUUAAUGUUCUUUCGAAGAACAAAUUAGCAGCUGGCUGGGGAUUGAUCUAGUUAUCAAUGAAGUGUUGGAAUAUUUAUGUUUG